rnacentral:rRNA from 1 species
CUACGGGGCGCAGCAGUGGGGAAUUUUGGACAAUGGGCGAAAGCCUGAUCCAGCCAUUCCGCGUGAGUGAUGAAGGCCUUCGGGUUGUAAAGCUCUUUCGGCCGGGAAGAAAUCGUGCAGGCUAAUAUCCUGCAUGGAUGACGGUACCGGACCAAGAAGCACCGGCUAACUACGUGCCAGCAGCCGCGGUAAUACGUAGGGUGCGAGCGUUAAUCGGAAUUACUGGGCGUAAAGCGUGCGCAGGCGGAUGUUUAAGCCAGAUGUGAAAUCCCCGGGCUUAACCUGGGAAUGGCAUUUGGAACUGGACAUCUAGAGUGUGUCAGAGGGGGGUGGAAUUCCACGUGUAGCAGUGACAUGCGUAGAGAUGUGGAGGAACACCGAUGGCGAAGGCAGCCCCCUGGGAUAACACUGACGCUCAUGCACGAAAGCGUGGGGAGCAAACAGGAUUAGAUACCCGGGUAGUC